UAAACACUCUCUUGAUAAUUUUUGAAAGAAAUAAGUUUCAGCAAAUGCUUUGAUAUAUUUUUAACGAAGAAAACUAUUGUGACCCUAUUGUGGAUAACCAAUAAUAUUUUUUAAUUUCUCUAAACUGAUUGGCUAAUGAUCAAUGAAUGUUUUCUUAAUAUUAUUAUUUUUGAUUGUGUGAAUGUUUUUCUAUUAAUGAUAUAUACAGAAUAGAUAGUUCUUUCCUAUUAUAUAAAAUGGCGGGAAUUUUCAUACAUAUCUGUUUUACUGUAUUUCAAACUAAUAAUAGCUGAUGGAAAAGGUUGGGUACUGUUUCUUGCCAUUUAUUAAGAAACAAAUUGAGAGUAUUUAAUAUUUUUAACAAGUUUAGGAAUUUUUAUAGAAGAUACAAAGAGAUGCCAAUGUUUGAAGGAGGAAAUUCUAAUACUGAAAUAUUAAUUGAAGAAACAUUGGAAGACAUUUGGAAUAUUACAUUAAAAAUAAAGAAAGAAUUGGAUAUAAUAAAUGACCUUGUAAGAGAUAAUGGAGAUUUCAAUGUAGCAGUCAUACGAACAAAUCAAAAUUUACUAAAAAUAAUUGACAAAAAAGGUAUAGAUUUAUCUACUAUUGAAGAAGAAGAGAAAUGUGAAGAUGGUAAUGUUAAUGAUACUAAUAGUAAGAGUGGAUCAGAUAUUGUAGACCCUCUUGUCUCUGUUAUAAAUAGAUUUUCAAAGAUUUUAGAAAACAAUGAAUAAUUAAUGCAAGUAAAUAAUUAUAUUGUACCAUUACAAUUUUUCUACCUUUUUUUAUAAUGUAAGUAAAAUUAUAAUUUUAUAUUUGAUAUGUAAACAUUUUUAUAUAUUCCAUGAUAAAACCCAGUAAUUCAUUAUCUUAAAAUUAUGAUUUAAAAUUUAAUAAAUUAAUAUUUCAAAGCUUAGACUCUGUGAGCCAAGUAUAUUUUUGUUCCUUGCGAUCAGCUUGAGGGUCAAUCAUUAUAUUUAUUAAACUUGGCGCAUUUAAUUCCUAUAAAAUGUAAUUUUGUAUUAAAACAAUAUUAUAAUAUAAGGUUGGAACUUUUCAGUAUAACUUACUGCAAAUGAUUUUUUUAAUGCUUGUUGAAUUUCUUCUACAGUCACGCAAAAAUGGCCUUUUUUUCCAAACAUUUCUAUCAUUUUUUCAUAAUGAGUUCCAGAUGUUAAGCUAUGAGGUGGGAUCCUUUAUCACAAAUUUUUAAUUAGAAAAAAUAUUUAUAUUUAACAAUGUUUAAUCAUACAAUAACUUACGUUUGUGUUGGAUCACCAGUCAUUUGUAUUUCUUUAAAUGUUUUAUUGUCCAAACCAUUAUAUAUACCGUUAUUAUUUAUUAUGAUAACAAUAAUGGGUAAUUGGUAUCUGGAAAGAUAUAAAAUAUUCUGCUGGAGAUAUCCUAGACUUCUGCGGGAAAGAAUUAAAAUAUUACCUAAACAUAGUUUCAAUUUCCAUUCCAGAAAACCCAAAUGCACUAUCUCCUUCAAUGCAAAGCACUCUCUUUCCAGGCACAUUAUCUUUACAAUAUAGAGCGGCUGCAAUUGCAAAACCUAAACCUACACCCAUAGUACCAAAUGUUCCAGCAUCUAAGCGAUGACGAGGUAAAUUAUUUAACAGGAUAGUACGUCCGAUAUCCAUUGUAUUAGCACCCUCGGAGCAAAUUAUACAGUCUAUUGCUUUGAAAUCGAGGUGGACGCCCAAAAUGCAGCAUCCAAUUGAGCCUAGCACCUAAUAAUAAUAUUACAUCAGAUUGUUGCAAAGCAUAUGUUCUUGCACUAGAAAUACAUAAUGGAUCCGUAUCUGGAACAACUCCUUUUCCCAUUGGUGUUGGAAGAAAAGGAAAUAUCAAUGGUGGUUCAGGGCAAGGUAAGACCAGUGCAAUUUCUUUUUCAUCAACAUUUUGCGUUAAUAUUGUUGCUGGUAAAUCUAAGUUGAAUAUCGUACUGCCUUUUCUACAUGAACAGGAAUCAAAGCUGCAGAUGAUGGUCUAGCUGCAUAUUUACAAUAAGGUUUACUAGCUUCUACUUGGGGCCAUUCUUGAAAACCCCCAAUACCUUCAUGAUCUUGAGGACAUGAACCUCCUACUACUAAAAGUGGCCUAUAAUAAUUUUAAUAAUGAUUCAUUAUUAAAGACUUCAUUGAGUAAUUAUAUAUUUUAUAAUGUUUUAUUAAAAUUUUAAAUAAUA